GCCGGGCGAGGUGAUGUGCCCCUGUAGUCCCAGCUACUCAGGAGGCUGAGGCAGGAGGAUCGCUUGAACCUGGGAGGCGGAGGUUGUGAUGAGCCAAGAUCAUGCCAUUGCACUCCAGCCUGNNNNNNNNNNCAGGCUGGAGUGCAAUGGCAUGAUCUUGGCUCAUCACAACCUCCGCCUCCCAGGUUCAAGCGAUCCUCCUGCCUCAG
rnacentral:SRP_RNA from 1 species